rnacentral:rRNA from 1 species
GUCCAUGCCGUAAACGAUGAUUGCUAGGUGUGGGGACUGACCCCUUCCGUGCCGGAGUAAACACAAUAAGCAAUCCACCUGGGGAGUACGGCCGCAAGGCUGAAACUCAAAGGAAUUGACGGGGGCCCGCACAAGCAGUGGAGUAUGUGGUUUAAUUCGAAGCAACGCGAAGAACCUUACCAGGUCUUGACAUCCAACUAACGAAGUAGAGAUACAUUAGGUGCCCUUCGGGGAAAGUUGAGACAGGUGGUGCAUGGUUGUCGU